UACGGGGGGAGCAAGCGUUGUUCGGAUUUACUGGGCGUAAAGGGCGCGUAGGCGGUCAGCACAAGUCAGUUGUGAAAUCUCCGAGCUUAACUCGGAAAGGUCAACUGAUACUGUGCGACUAGAGUGCAGAAGGGGCAACUGGAAUUCUCGGUGUAGCGGUGAAAUGCGUAGAUAUCGAGAGGAACACCUGCGGCGAAGGCGGGUUGCUGGGCUGACACUGACGCUGAGGCGCGAAAGCCAGGGGAGCAAACGGG
rnacentral:rRNA from 1 species